UACGUAGGGUGCGAGCGUUAAUCGGAAUUACUGGGCGUAAAGCGUGCGCAGGCGGUUUUGUAAGCCAGAUGUGAAAGCCCCGGGCUUAACCUGGGAAUGGCAUUUGGGACUGGCAAGGCUUGAGUGCGGCAGAGGAGACUGGAAUUCCUGGUGGUAGCAGUGGAAAUGCGUAGAUAUCAGGAGGAAUACCGAGUGGAGCGAAAGG
rnacentral:rRNA from 1 species